UAGGCUCGUGUCCCAACUCUGGCAUAUCCUAAUGGUGUGAUGAUGGUCAAUCUCUGAGUCUCUGUGAAAUGAGAAAACUAUUUCCUCAUAGGGGUGCGUUUCAGUGUUGUCAGUACACUUGUGGCACUUUAGAUGGUAUGUAAGAAAAGUAUGAAAACAAUAUCAUUUUGUUCUGAAAGCCAAGCUGUCCAUUGGGUCCUGAGAGAUGUGUUCCAGGAUCCUGCUCCAACAUCAAAUUCUAAGAGAAAAAGAGACAUCCACAGACGUGCCACGGUGAAAAGACCAUCUCUUUUCAGCAUGGGGCAGGAGAGCUGAGUUGCAGACUGGAACACCUGCAGAUAUUGUUGGUUUGACCUGGACAAGAACCCAGAGACAGAAAACCUUAUGGGGGAAGGUACCAUUGCAGCCACCAUGGGUCAGAGGAAGAAACUGAAGCAUACAGAGGGAAGUUAUCUUUCCAAUGCUGUACCGCAGGCUGCCUGCUGUGUGCUUCAUCAGCAAGCAGAAUGCACCGCGAAGGCAGAGCCCAAGAACAACAACAACG
ensembl:lincRNA Gm2447 predicted gene 2447